AAAUAAUUUCACGCUUGAAUAUUUUUGCUAAGGUAAAGACGUGUUCAAAUAUCAUCCAUUAAGUAAAUCUGGUCAAUUGAAAAUGUGGAAAGCUGGGAUUUUGAUACUUUUUGUAAUUUAUUUCACAAAUGUAAGUUUUAAAAGUACUAAGAUAAAUAUUGAAAUGAUAGGUCUUCCUUUUUCUUGCGUUCAUUUUCUGUAAAAACUGUUCGCAUAUAUUUUUUUCACAGACUUUAAAACGAAAUAAAACCUGUUUGAAUGUUUAGAUUGUUAAUCAUGCAUAGGUAUAAUAAAAAAAAAAGACCUAGUUAUCAGUAUGUUUACAUUAUAUAGAUAUAUAAUAUUCAAAUGUAACAAUAUAGUAUCUAUUUGCCACAAUACAUUAUGUAGUACUGUGUUAUAACCCUGGAUUAGGCCGACGAAGAAAGUCAUUACACGACCAUAUUAAAGCUAUAUUUUUAUAUUAUCUUGUUGGUCGAGUGGUCUUGUGCGCAAGAAACAGAGUAGGUGGUGUUGCCACGAAGUCAAGGAAAAGGAUAAGAAUCCCACUGAGGGAGCAAAAAACAUGUGCUUAAGCAAAGGACAAGGUACAAUAAGGGCCAAUUUUGGCCCCCUCUUGAAAGACAUUAAAUUUUAUAAGUUCAAUAGACUAAGUAUAGAAGCUUAAAAAAAAUUGCAUUUUUUUUGGUGAUUCUCAUUUUUGGUUGCCUAGCAACAGAUUUGAAACCUGCCAAUAAUAUAUGCUAUUUCAAACCUUAUCUAACAAAAAAAAACGUAUUUUCCAUAUGAAUCAAAAUGUAUAAUUGUAAAAUACAUAUAUGGAAAUCUAAAGCAGUAAUGUUUUGUUUAUCUAUAUUAAUUGCACGAGUAUUUAUCAACACCUUAACCACCAGUAUGGCCCUUAGCAACAGUAAUGUAUAUUAAGCAACAGUAGACUUUGGUAUAUGUUCAUGGCUUAUGUAAACAUAAUAUGUUAACCAAAUCUAUGUUUCUAUUGCUAGAUACUUUUAGGACAAUUGUACAAAUCUUACAAUUUGUUUGGCUUGUUUUUUUCGCUAAGAAACUACAUAGCAACCGUAAUAACUGCAUAGCAACGACCUUUUUCAUUUCAUUUUGAUUUGAUUACGUUGAUGUUGUUUUUCUAAUAGUAUUUUGACGUCUAAGUAAAUGAGCUUUUAUAGAUUAAUCUCUGUCCGACUAUGGAUGAAAGUAGCUUGGUGUUCACUUUCAACAAUCAACCCCCCCCUUUUCCUCCUCAAAAACAAAAUAGCAAAUAAAUAAAUAAAUAAACAUGACAUACGAAAAAAGUGUUUAUCCAAAAUUGAAAUUAUAUCGACCUUCAUGCAGACCUACUCAUGACAUCAUAAACAUAAUGAUUAACCUUUGCCCUAAAGUAAUUGCGUUAAAAUCAGACUUCAUAAAAAAGGGACGAAAGAUACCAGAGGGACAGUCUAGGGAUUUUUCAACCCUCAUAUUUUGGUCCGAUUAUGGGCCUCUGUCCCAAAGAGAAAUAUGCUCUUUUUUCUCAAUUUUCAGCUCUAAAAUUACCAGUUGUAUGUCAUUGUAUAAAGACAUCGUUGCAAGAUUUUGUUGGUGUCGUAGUGUGGUAUUUUGUUUACAAAUCUCUUGAAUUUUGUUCACAAUUUAUGCAAUUAUAACUUAUUCCUUCUCAGAAUGCAAAAUUUUGCACGCUCAGAAACAGCGGAAAUCAGCGGCAUAUAUGGAAACACUGUAAGUAAGACUAGAACCGUCCCUAAACAUCCCAUUGAAAAAUACUAAAAAAGAAUGUGUGUUGACAACCAACUAAAUUGAUAGCUAUUAUAAUCAAAACAAAUACUCCAGCCAUUCUAUCUCGUUGAAAUAUUUUUAAAUAUUAUUAGAAGAAAAACGUAUUGGACAAGUAUAUAUCCUUUAUGAGAUUCGAACGUAAAUCGCGGCAUUCAAAAGCCGACGCGAUACCACUACACUACAUUGCCACAAUGUCUCAAAAGUGGUAAAUGUAUGUAUUUAUAGGCAUACUGUAAAGUCAUGAUAGAAAUGAAAAAAGAAAUCUGGGACUAGGGCUAACUACCUCCCCGGGACUACCUCUCAAUUUGUUUCCUUUAUAUGAGACGAUGCGUACUCAAAACAAAAAAAGAUUCACGUUAAUAUUAAACAGAAUUAACUUGUUCUUUUCGGCGGUGGUCUUUUGCAAAGUCGUAUGCAAUUAACAGACUCGACCCAAGGUAUCUUGUCCCGAUUUUACACAUUAUUCCAAAGAACCCCAAAAAGCAAAAAAAAAAAAUAUUCAAUUUUUUUUGCUUUAUUUUAUGAGGGGACACUUGCAAAACGCCUGUUUAUCGUGUGUGCCGAGUGCAUAUGUUUUCACUAUGUAAGGUGUUGAUUUAAAUCGAUAAAACACACUCAUCCUGCCUUGAUUUAACUCAAAAAAUACAAUUUGAAACUGAAUUUUUUCAAAAUUUCAUCUUAGCAACUGAAAACCUUGAGCACCUAUCGAAGUAUUCUUGCUUUAGUUGAGGGUUUCUUGCCGUAACAGCCGAAUGCGGAUAUUUUCAGCUCUUUCUCCGAUUUCGAUCCGAUACUACUAUUUUGACACAAAUUGUUGUUUUUUUUACGAGAGAUUUUUUUAAUUUUUGAGCACCUCCGCCAACGUGAGCCAAUAUUUUCUUUUCAUAUUCGGAAAACCCUGUUUGUAUGCCAUCUUUAUCACUAAUUAUUACUGUGGCUCACGUUGGCGGAGGCCUUUAAAAACGAAGGAUUGCAGUCCACAAAUGGACAUUUUUCUAUCUUUUGACGUUAUCAACACACUUUAGCCAACCCAAAAUCAGGUUUCUGCCAUACUAGAAGACAAAUUGGGCAUGUGGUAUUGAAGAACAAAUAUAUUUAAGAUAUUUUAUGAUGCUCAGUUCAUUUAUAAGAUGAAAAUGAUUUUUUGACAAAAUAGGGGCAAAUACGGCCCUUAGUGUACCUUGUCCAAAUUUGCAGAGUUUUGCGAAAACAUAAAUGAAUUUAAGAAACUUUUAAAAGUUUUUUUAAUCUUUUUUUUAAAAGCAACAUGCUAUCAAAUAAAUAAAUGUCUUCUUCAGAAAGGCAUUUGUUAAAAAAAAUUCAUGAUAAUCGUUAUCUUCUAUUUUAAUAACAUAUUCGCGAUUCAGAGGUGUUUCAAGUAUCAGUAUUGUUGUUGGAAGAAUUUUGUUAAAUACAGAAUGACUGGAGAAUUUCAGCAAAGUAUCAUAAGUCAUAGGUUAUUGGGAUAGGAAAAUUUUUUACUCCACCUUUAUUACCAAAGUUCCAAUUUUUUGUUUUCUAUCAAUUCAUAUGAACAUACAUUAGUAUGUUAUGAACAUUUAUUUAAGUAGGCCUGUAAUUCAGUGGUUGUCGUUUGUUUAUGUGUUACAUAUUGUUUUUCGUUCAUUUUUUGUACAUAAAUAAGGCCGCUAGUUUUUCUCGUUUCGCAUUGUUACAUUGUCAUUUCGGGCCUUUUGAAGCUGAGUAUGCGUAUUGGCUUUGCUCUUUGUGAAGCCGUACGGUAACCUAUAAUUGUUAAUUUCUGUGUCAUUUUGGUCUCUUGUGGAGAGUUGUUCUCAACAUGGCAAUCAUACCACAUCUUCUUUUUUUGUAAUCAAUGAAUUUUGUAAAAGAUUUAAUGACUGAGAAUUUCAGAAAAGUAUCAAAAGUUCACAUGAUAAUUUUUUGCGCUUAUCUGUAAUUAUGAACAUUCAUUACUAUAUAAUUACAUUAGAUGUAUGUUUCAUUAUAAUACUUUAUUUCUGAUUGGCUAACUGCACACCACGUGUUAUUCCGUAAGCAGUUGUAUUGCUCAAUACAACUUUUCAUUCAUGAUAACACGUGGUCCAACAAUAUAGUGCACAGGUGAAUUAAAUAAAAAAAUAUAUAAAAUUCGUGUUUUCAUGAUCAUAGCUAAAAAAUGUAAUUAUAAGUAUUGAAUGCUUCUUUUUGUAACUUUAUAGGGUUGUAAAGCGUUGACGUGCGCACAUUUUUAGAAUGAAGCGCUUCUGCGCUUCAUACAAAAUGUACUUCGGUCAACGCUUUUACACCCCAAUAAAUUUACAAAAAGAAGCAUUCAAUUCUUAAAUAAAUAAAGCGUAUUUACUUUCAAUUCUAAGUUUACUAAUCGAUCCAUGGUGAUCAUUGAUAUAGUAUACAGACCCUCUCUAUUUUAUAAACUCUGUGACUGAUAGUAAACUUGAAAAUGAUAGCAGAUAAAAUUCUGAAAAUACACUUUAUUCGUAGUAUAUGUAUGUUCAAAGUAUACAGAAAAACGCAAACCGGAAGUCUAAUCUGACUUAAAAUUUCGUACAAUGACGGGACAAUACCCGGAUGCCUUUUUUCUCGUUUUUCUCCUAAAAUAACUCAAUCUGAAUAAUCAUAUGAAUGGAUGACAAAUGCGACUAUGCACUGUACCUAUAGGACACAGAGGCGUGUUGAUUAAUUUAUUGUGGAAAGAAGAGAAGCGACACCAAAAAUGAGGUCUUCUCUUUUAAUAGUAUAGAUUGGAAACGUAACCUUUCAUGUAGGUAGUUUUCUUUUGACAAAUCUUCAAUUAAUUAUGUUUUAAAUGAUAUAAAAUAUAACUGUGCAAAUAUUUCAAAAUAACAUCUGUUUGUAUUUACAAAACAUUCAACUAUACAUAUAUUCAAAAUAAUUUGCACACUUUUUUUUCAAAUAUUUGCUUCCCAAUAUAAACAUGUAUGCGUUGUCUUACAUUUUAUUUUCUUCUAACGGAGUUUAAAUUUGUAGUAAAGUAUAUAUGUAAUUAAACAAGAUAGGUUACGACCCACGGAAAUCAUAUUUUUUUUUUACCAAAAACAUGCAUUAUGAUGAAAUGACAUACGUUUCAUGCGUUCGAAGUAGUUUUGUGAUCAUUUUUAGGAGUAACUGUGAAACCUAAACUUUCUAUAGCCAAUGAUGUGGAAAUACGUAGACACGAUAGUGGCUAUAUAAUCAAAAUUAAAAUAGAAAAAGAAUAGCCAAAUGUAUAUACGGUCAUAUUUGCCUGACGAAGAUGGAUUAUGAAUAACUUUGGAAUUUAUUAUCGGGGAUUUUUUAAUCAAUAUUUUAUGGUAACGAAUUACUUAUUACUGUGCUGAUGACAACGCUGGGCUUAAAGUUUACCAGCAGAAGUUUAUAGUAAUUUCUAAUGAAAGAAAAGGUAACUUUAUAUGUGCAUGCGUCCAAAGCUUAUAUAGUAAGGAUAUAGCUCAUAGACACUGCAGAAACUAAAAUAAAUAUUUUUUUGGUAUUUAGAUGCACAGCCGUUCAUGUCAUUACAUCAACAUAAAAGAAAUUGUCGAUUCAUACGUUUGUAAAAUUGUCUUUAUCCUUUCUUUAUGUUUUCUUUUGUCAAAGGAUAUCAAUUCAUAAAAAUAAUACAACAUUUAGAUAUUUCAUUGGUUUGAUUUUAUAAUCUAAAUAGGGUACACCUAGAUGUCCAGUUUGUUUCAAUGGGAAGACUGGUCCAGGUUGUCCCGUAUGUAUACAGUUCUUUAACCAGUGUAACGGAAAUGAGGAUUGUACACGAGGUAUUGUAUUGUUGUAUCUAGUUAUACUUAAUUAACAAAUUCUGAUAUUGAUACGAACUUUUGAAAUUUUGUUUGCAUUUAACAUGAAUUUAAUACAAGCAUGUAAAGUAUACGACUCUUUUCAAAAGACCCCUUAUGGCUACAGAAACUCGUGAGUUAGACACCUUUCAGGGUCCGAUCAAUUUUAUUCGUACGAUUUUUUGUGAAAAGACAUGUUUUAAUUAUUUUUCUCUUGCAUCGUUUAAAAACACUUAUAAAAUGCAAUGUGAAGUAUAAGCCUGUUCUUGGAAUCGAAGCAUCGUUUAUAGACUUGCAAGGUUUUUAAAAUCAUUCAACCGAUGAACCACAUACUAUUUCUUUACAGGAAAAUUGUGUUGUCUUAAUCCAAACUGUGGUAGAGAGUGCGUAGAUCCAGGUAUGUUACUUUGUGUCUGCAUUAUGUAUGAUAUGGGCAGAUUCUUGAAACACUGAACAAUUACUAGUAUGUAAUUAAAAUUCAAGAAAGAGGUGCUCUUCCGUUGAUUAUGUCACUCUUGAAAUUAUCUUAGUAGUAAGACGUUUCAAAUAGAUCUAAAAUUUUAUUUAAGACUUGCUUCGAUUUGAAAAUAACCUAUUAAGUGUAAUAUGCGUUUAAGAAUAAAUUAUUUGUCAAAACACUAUUGAAAAAAAAUGUUUUGUAAUUUUCAAAAGAAAUUGAAAACAGUAUAAUAAAAAAAACCAUAACGACUUAAAACAUGUUACUUUAACACAAUUUCUGCAAUAUAACAUAUUCAGAACCGGCCAGGGAGGCCCUUUUAAAACUUUAGUAACCACUCAGAUCUUAAAUAUCUCAUACAAUUAUCAAAACCACAAGAUGUAGGUACACGAUGGCAAUUCUCAUUUAAAAAAUGCACAUCCGAGGCAUAGAAAAAUAAACGAUGUCUUUGUUAAUACUAAUAGCCUUAAUUUCUUAUUUGAACAUGAAAUUAAAGUAACUUGUAAAACAUUGUUCCAUCUUUUCCAAGAAAGUGUUUGAAAUUUUCUUCAACAUAAUGCUAUUUCAAAUCUAUAUACUUUUAAAUAUAUUAGUUCUGUGAGAUUAAGCACAUGCACUAUCCAAUAUUUGUAUAAUCGUUUUGUUUAUUUUUUCCAGAUAAUUCUAAUAAAAGAGGGAGAUGAUCAAGAAUAAAUUUGAAGAUCCUGUGCUCGUUUCAUUUCUAACGUUGUUGAAAACUUUAAGGGCUACAAAAUUCAAUAAUUACCACAAUUUUUUUAUAUAACUGAACUUGAUGAGCUGUAUGUUUCAAAAACAGAAAAAGUAAUAAUCGGACAAUAUUUUAACAGAAUUUUUGCAAAUUCUGCUCGACAUUUAAACUGAAUGUGCAACAAUAAAAAAAAAUAUGAAAUAAUUAUGAUAAUUUUCAUGUGAAUAUGUAUUUUUUCUUCAUCAUUUAUUUUAAAUAUUUCUUCCUGCUUUUCUGUAGUAAAUAUACAUAAACACUAGAACACACCCGUUAUAUCGCAGGUCCGUGACUGAAUUAAAGUAUAUAAG
rnacentral:lncRNA from 1 species